GAUGAACGCUGGCGGCGUGCCUAAUACAUGCAAGUCGAGCGAACAGACGAGGAGCUUGCUCCUCUGACGUUAGCGGCGGACGGGUGAGUAACACGUGGAUAACCUACCUAUAAGACUGGGAUAACUUCGGGAAACCGGAGCUAAUACCGGAUAAUAUUUUGAACCGCAUGGUUCAUUAGUGAAAGACGGUUUUGCUGUCACUUAUAGAUGGAUCCGCGCCGCAUUAGCUAGUUGGUAAGGUAACGGCUUACCAAGGCAACGAUGCGUAGCCGACCUGAGAGGGUGAUCGGCCACACUGGAACUGAGACACGGUCCAGACUCCUACGGGAGGCAGCAGUAGGGAAUCUUCCGCAAUGGGCGAAAGCCUGACGGAGCAACGCCGCGUGAGUGAUGAAGGUCUUCGGAUCGUAAAACUCUGUUAUUAGGGAAGAACAAAUGUGUAAGUAACUAUGCACGUCUUGACGGUACCUAAUCAGAAAGCCACGGCUAACUACGUG
rnacentral:rRNA from 1 species